rnacentral:rRNA from 1 species
AACGAACGCUGGCGGCAUGCCUAACACAUGCCAGUCGAACGAGACCUUCGGGUCUAGUGGCGCACGGGUGCGUAACGCGUGGGAACCUGCCCUUAGGUUCGGAAUAACUCCCCGAAAGGGGUGCUAAUACCGGAUAAUGUCUUCGGACCAAAGAUUUAUCGCCUUUGGAUGGGCCCGCGUUGGAUUAGCUAGUUGGUAGGGUAAAAGCCUACCAAGGCGACGAUCCAUAGCUGGUCUGAGAGGAUGAUCAGCCACACUGGGACUGAGACACGGCCCAGACUCCUACGGGAGGCAGCAGUGGGGAAUAUUGGACAAUGGGCGAAAGCCUGAUCCCGCAAUGCCGCGUGAGUGAUGAAGGCCUUAGGGUUGUAAAGCUCUUUUACCCGGGAUGAUAAUGACAGUACCGGGAGAAUAAGCUCCGGCUAACUCCGUG